rnacentral:rRNA from 1 species
CCUACGGGUGGCAGCAGUGGGGAAUAUUGCACAAUGGGGGAAACCCUGAUGCAGCGACGCCGCGUGAGUGAAGAAGUAUUUCGGUAUGUAAAGCGCUAUCAGCAGGGAAGAAAAUGACGGUACCUGAGUAAGAAGCCCCGGCUAACUAAGUGCCAGCAGCCGCGGUAAUACGUAGGGGGCAAGCGUUAUCCGGAUUUACUGGGUGGAAAGGGAGCGUAGACGGCAGCACAAGUCUGGAGUGAAAUGCCGGGGCUUAACCCCGGAACUGCUUUGGAAACUGUGCAGCUAGAGUGCAGGAGAGGUAAGUGGAAUUCCUAGUGUAGCGGUGAAAUGCGUAGAUAUUAGGCGGAACACCAGUGGCGAAGGCGGCUUACUGGACUGUAACUGACGUUGAGGCUCGAAAGCGUGGGGAGCAAACAGGAUUAGAUACCCGGGUAGUC